AGGGGCGUAGCUCAGUUGGUAGAGCGCUGGUCUCCAAAACCAGUGGUCGGGGGUUCAAGUCCCUCCGCCCCUGCCA
rnacentral:tRNA from 1 species